GACGAACGCUGGCGGCGUGCUUAACACAUGCAAGUCGAACGGAAAGGCCCUGCUUUUGUGGGGUGCUCGAGUGGCGAACGGGUGAGUAACACGUGAGUAACCUGCCCUUGACUUUGGGAUAACUUCAGGAAACUGGGGCUAAUACCGGAUAGGAGCUCCUGCUGCAUGGUGGGGGUUGGAAAGUUUCGGCGGUUGGGGAUGGACUCGCGGCUUAUCAGCUUGUUGGUGGGGUAGUGGCUUACCAAGGCUUUGACGGGUAGCCGGCCUGAGAGGGUGACCGGCCACAUUGGGACUGAGAUACGGCCCAGACUCCUACGGGAGGCAGCAGUGGGGAAUAUUGCAAAAUGGGCGGAAGCCUGAUGAAGAAACGCCGCGUGCGGGAUGACGGCCUUCGGGUGGUAAACCGCUUUCGCCUGUGACGAAGCGUGAGUGACGGUAAUGGGUAAAGAAGAACCGGCUAACUACGU
rnacentral:rRNA from 1 species